rnacentral:tRNA from 1 species
AAGAAAUUAGUUAAAAUAUAACAUUAAUAUGUCAUAUUAAAAUUAUUAAAACUUAAUAUUUCUUU